AUUGAACGCUGGCGGCAGGCCUAACACAUGCAAGUCGAGCGGAUGGAGGGGGCUUGCUCCUUGAUUCAGCGGCGGAUGGGUGAGUAAUGCCUAGGAAUCUGCCUGGUUGGGGGGGCUUACUUCCGGAAACGGGCGCUAAUACGGCACACGUCCUGAUGGCGAAUGAGGCGACUCCUCGGCAUGCACCCGAGCAGAUGACCCUAGUUCGGGUUAGCUGGGUGGUGUGGUAGAGGCCUACCAACGCGACGAUGCGGAACUGGUCUGAUGGUGUGGCCAGGCAGACGGGAACUGAGACAGGGCCCAGACUCCUGCGGGAGGCAGCAGUGGGGAAUACUGGACGAGGGGGGAGAGCCUGAUCCAGCCAUACCGCGGGUGUGAAGAAGGUCUUCGGAUGGUAAAGCACUGUAAGUUGGGAGGAAGGGAAGUAAGUUAAUACCUUGCUGUUUUGACGGUACCAACAGAAUAAGCACCGGCUAACUUCGUG
rnacentral:rRNA from 1 species